GAGGGUGUAGCUCAGUGGUAGAGUGCAUGCUUGGCAUGCACAAGGUCCUGGAUUCAAUCCCCAGCACUCCCU
rnacentral:tRNA from 1 species